rnacentral:rRNA from 1 species
CCUACGGGAGGCAGCAGUAGGGAAUAUUGCUCAAUGGGGGAAACCCUGAAGCAGCAACGCCGCGUGGAGGAUGAAGGUUUUCGGAUUGUAAACUCCUUUUGUUAGAGAAGAUAAUGACGGUAUCUAACGAAUAAGCCCCGGCGAACUCCCUGCCAGCAGCCGCGGUAAGACGGAGUGGGCAAGCGUUAUUCGGAAUCACUGGGCGGAAAGAGCGCGUAGGCGGGAUAGCAAGUCAGAUGUGAAAUCCUAUGGCUUAACCAUAGAACUGCAUUGGAAACUGUGAUUCUAGAGUAUGGGGGAGGUAGGUGGAAUUCUUGGUGUAGGGGUAAAAUGCGUAGAUAUCAAGAGGAAUACUCAUUGCGAAGGCGACCGGCUAGAACAUAACUGACGCUGAUGCGCGAAAGCGUGGGGAGCAAACAGGAUUAGAUACCCCGGUAGUC